CGAUAAUCUCGCCCCUUCCUCCGCCAACCUAUCGUUGCGCCUCGCCGUUCCGCCGCCGCUCGAGGACGCCGCUCGCACUCCGCUCUCGCUUCCCCUCGCGUCGCUAUCUCCUCCACUUCAUGCUUGCCGUUGCCGAGGACGCCGUCGCACGCGUUGUACUCUGGUCGCCGUCGCGCUCGUCCACUUCCUCCGCGCGCCACCAGCCGUGCGCACUUGACACCCCCCCCCCCCCCCUCCUCCAUCUACACGCCGUGUUGUUGUGGGGAAGGGUGAGGCGGGGUGGCGAUUUGGUCCAGCCAACGUCGAACACGACGAAUCGGCGAAAGGGGGUCGGCGGCCGUGCUCAGCUCGUGCAGGCCUCUUCGGCGGCGGCGCUCCCUGUCCCGACUCCGACACUAGCGUAACAGGGAUGGCCGUGGAGAUAUAGAAGAGAUGGAGUGGAGAGAAGUCAUUCGCCCCCAUGGAGCCAGAGUGCGCGCUAGCGACCUCAGAUCAGAUCCCUCGCUGCUGCUGCUGCAAGGAUAAGAUGGGCAAGGGACAAGGAUUGUUGACACUGUGGACUACCAGGGAUGAGAUGAAAGGAAGGUCAUACACAGGGUAGGAGAAGAGGAUGAUAUCAGAGAGGUGUCAAGGGAUGAGAUGGAAUUUUUCCUUGGUCAUGAGUUGUGGUUCACUGCUCUAGCACAAGAUGAGUGUGCAACUAACAAAUCUCAGUAGAUAAUUUGAGAUUAGCUUGCUACCUGGUGCCAUUUUGGGACAGUCACUACAGAAGGUUUUCUGUAGAAAGUUUUCUGGGAAUUCUGGGAAUUGGAGGUGGUUCAAAGUGCUAUUGCACUUGAUAUGCUAGAAGGUUUGGAGUUCUGUUGGUGUCGAGGCAUCCCUAUUUUUUAUAAUAUAGUUACAUCCCUGUUUGAAUGGAAGCAAGAUCUUGUUGAUGAGUUAUUAGAACCUACAACUCACAUCCUCAAACAUAUUUCAAGUAGAGAAGAGCUUUUCAAGGAUAAGAUGGAUUCUCACUUCUGAGGAGGUCGUAACUUUCACAAUUCAUGUGCUAUUUUGGCUCAUUACCCUUUCCUGCAGUUGUUGGACGUAACUUUCACUAGCUCUGCCCUUGCUAUUUGUUAAUGGAUAAAAGUUAUGGGACUUCAGGCAGGUUUCUGUUUCAACUCAGCUGCACUGGCGACGGCGCAACCGCCCUUCACCAGGCUUGACUUCUGGAGAUCCUAGAUCCCCGUCCACCUCCGCUUGCUGCUUCUCUGCACCGGCAUCUCCAGGACCACCGUACAGCAAUGGAUGGAGAUAUAUAUUGGGAUCGAUAUCAUGUGGCACAGCGUCAUCUUCGACGGAGGCAAUGAAAUAGAAGGAAGAAAAAUCCUUUAUAAUUAUUGGAAAGACAACGGAUCAAAGCAUGAAGGAUGCAUCCUCGACAACAAAUACAAGUUGUGGCGCCACGUGGAGAACUGAUAUGAGAAGCCACGUAGCAGAGCUGGAGUCUAUUUCUCUACAUGAUUGUUUCAUGCUGUUGAUAGACAAUUAGAGCCAUGCUAAGUGGUGAUCCUUUGGACUUUGUCAUAUUCGGUAAUCUUCUACAUAUAUAUCCAUGGAUCAUACUGGGUCGCAAUUCUAUGAAUGUCAUAUAAUGUGCUUUUAUAAUUAUUGUAUAUGCUUAACAUGUGUGCGUGAAUUUAAAUAUGGUUUGAAUA